rnacentral:lncRNA from 1 species
UUGGGACCUUGCCAAGCCUGUUUUUCCAAAGCGAGGAUGUGAACCAUGCAUGCAUCCGAGUGCAUGCAAGUGUCUGGGACACCCCAGUGGAUUCCCCCAUUUCGUUCAUGGGGAGUCUGGCGGCUUCCGUUGUGCCUUGCGCUGGCGCAAACCCAACGGCUUUCCCCCUGCCGGUUUCCGGUCUUGUGUGUACCCUGAUCCACACACCAUGGGAAAACGAUGACCCGGAGUCAGCUGUGGCGCCGAAUAGUCCUCAUGGUAGACUACUGGCAGGCCCCCUCCGCGCACUGACGUAACACAACCUUGCUGAUAGCUGACGCCUCGGUGGCGCAGCCCCGUGAACGCUCGGUACAAGGCCUGAUCUGCUGCUAUGCGGCUUUGAGAAACACUAGUCCAGGAGGUUGAGUAAUGGACACGAUGGCAUAGCACUGGCAAACGCCUCCACAUGCUUAUGGACCUCUUCGCCUGGUGCAGAGAGCAAUGAUUAACGCUCGCCUAAACCACUGAUGCUUGUUCUAGUCGAUAAUAUACAGGGAAAAGGCUGUUUUCCGGUGAAAGAAGCUCGUCCUCCCGAGGCCGUAACAACGAACCAAAGUCCUUACAUCAUUCCUGAUCACUAAAGCAUAAAUCCUAUACAAAACUUGAUCGCUAUGAUAUCUAUACCUUUGGUGCUUGGGGCUUUAGCGCACGGAGUGACGUACUGUACACCACUUGUCAAGGCCCUGUGCUCCGGCGGCUCAAUCCUUUCUGUUGGCUCAUGUUUCAUCCUUAAAGCUUUGGAUCGUAAGGAGUAAAACAAAACAUUUUAUAUGCUCUUGUUGCUUGGAAGAAAGACGCAAGCGAAAGUCCCCCUGGACCAGUCGGACCCUGGAGCUUCUGCCAGGGAGGCCGCACUUGGACGGGGCCCUGGGCUCAGUACCGACAGAAGCGUAUUCUGUGCCUCCCCGGCGCGCCUGGGCGUGCGCCCAGGCUCGGAGGCGGCUGUGUUGACAGUGGAUUGAAGCACACGCCUUAACUACGCGUCUCGCCCAAAGGGUAAGCCCUCACCCUCGAAACACAGAGGGACAUUAUAUUAUUGAGAUAACUACCUAUAGGGCUAUAAAUUAUGUUGCUUUACUGCAGCUUCACUCGGACUGCGUUUCAGGCAAGCGCGCGCAAACUGACCCACCGACCCGUGCUCGUCACGGAGGUGUUCUCGCGGAAAGGGAUUGUGCGACAGUGAGGGUUACAGUGACAGUCUCAGGCAGCAGUGACGCCAAGUCAGCGUUGCCUUGGUGUCUUUGGAGGGCGCUCUUCAAGCAUCAUGCAACUCCAGCCGGAGCUCGUCAUACAUCAUGAUAACAGUUUACGAAACCAAGAUGGCCACACGGCAAUCGUUGUUGCAUACAACCACGCUGGACAGCAGCUGGACGCCAGCGCACUGGACGCAACCAGUCUGGCCGCCACGCUGGAGCUGCACUCCGUGCACGCACUGGACCAGCAUGCGCAGGCCGUCAUGGACCACGCCACCCAGGCCGCCAUGGACCACGUGC